rnacentral:rRNA from 1 species
GCAGGCGAGAAUACUGUGCAAUGCGCGCAAGCGCGACACGGGAAGCCUGAGUGCCUUAACUAUGUUAAGGCUUUUCUUGAUCCUAAAAAGCUCAAGGAAUAAGAGCUGGGUAAGACGGGUGCCAGCCGCCGCGGUAACACCCGCGGCUCGAGUGGUAGCCACUUUUAUUGAGCCUAAAGCGUUUGUAGCCGGAUUUGUAAAUCUCUAGGAAAAUACUUCUGCUUAACUGAAGAAAUUUUGGAGAGACUGCAAAUCUAGGGACCGGGUGAGGUUGAAUGUACUUCUGGGGUAGGGGUAAAAUCCUGUAAUCCUGGAAGGACGACCGGUGGCGAAGGCGUUCAACUAGAACGGAUCCGACGGUGAGGAACGAAGGCUAGGGGAGCAAACCGGAUUAGAUACCCCCGUAGUCC